GACGAACCGUGCGAACGUUGUUCGGAAUCACUGGGCUUAAAGGGCGCGUAGGCGGGCUGUCAAGCCUGGGGUGAAAUGCCGCGGCUCAACCGUGGAACUGCCUUAGAUACUGACGGCCUCGAGGAAGGUAGGGGCAUGCGGAACUGUAGGUGGAGCGGUGAAAUGCGUUGAUAUCUACAGGAACUCCGGUGGCGAAAGCGGCGUGCUGGACCUUUUCUGACGCUGAGGCGCGAAAGCCAGGGGAGCAAACGGG
rnacentral:rRNA from 1 species